UCAAAAAUAAAAAAAAAUCCCACACUAACAGCUCACAAAGCAUUUCCUCCAGAAGGAAGAAACACAGAGGAAAAGUAGCUUUCUUUGGGGUGGGAAACCACCAAUAUCUGCUGCAACACGCCAACACAAAGGUGAGUUUUACCGUAUGACUCUACUGGUCAAAGACAGAUUUUCCUGCCUUCCAAUCCCUACACACCGGCAGUCAGCAAAUAAAAUUCAAUCAAGAGCGAAUUACACAUAUCUUUAAUUUCGGAGAAGCACCAUGUAGCACGCAGGCUGCAGCUGGGAUGCAGCUCUGCCAAGUCCCUCACAGGUCAGCGAAGGAAGCCCCGACUCACCCAGGCCGUCCCAGCGCGGGCAGCGCCGGUGCAGGCGGGACGCCAGGCUCAGAGCCACGGGCGUAUCAGCUCCUCCUCGGGCAGCCCCGGCUGCUGCGAUGUCUGCAGCGUACAAGCGCCAGCGCGCCGUGACUUAUACAAAAAUCAGCAUCUUCCUCAGGAAAAAAAAACACUUGAAGCUUCUUACCGGCCCCGCAACGCACUCCUAUACUUAUGCCAUCACAUCUAGUGACUAAGAAGAUGCUUUCAGUGUCAGAGCAGAUUAAGAUUCUGGAAGGAGAGUGCCUGGCAGCUUUACUCUCACACACCAAUCUGUCUUCAUGCAAACGCACUUUGUCGGCGGAUGGGAGUGUAUCAUUGCAAUACGCUACCGAAGCGAAACAGUUUCCAAGUUUUCCCACAGGGCACCAGCUCCCCCUUCAAGCUGUACCCCAGCGCUUGCUCCCUCUCGUCCUUCCCCGAAAAGACCUGCAGUUUCUGGGCACCACAACUUGUCCUGUGUCGCCAUCGAGCGCUGCCCUCACACCUGCCGGGACGCCGCGUCCGCUGAGCCGCGCCCCGCGGGGCGUGGGACCCCCGCACCGCCCGGACAGCGCCCGGGCACCUCCCGAGCCCUGCGCCGGGACCCGGGGCCGGGCCCUGUUCCCUGGCACCCCGCGGGAGGGCGAACCGCAGCCGCGGCGCUCUCGGGGUCCGCACGGCCCGGGCAGGGCACGGCCUCUCCUCGGCGGGGCACCACACACACACACACACACACACACACAGAACACACGCCUUGCACCUGUCCGCUGCUACCGACGGGCAGCGAAAUCCCACCCCGCGGCUCGGCGCUGCGCUCUCCGCGGCGGGACCAGCGCCGGGAUCCCGCUGCCAGGGCACAGCCGAGUGACGACCGGUCGCCACGCAGAUGUGGAUAAGCAGGAAAAAGACGGCGAGGAGAGCAGCCCUCUCCCAUUACCUUAGCAAUCGCGCCGCCGCCGUCCCCUGCCGCCCCUUAGAUCGGAAGCCCCCCCCCCCCCCCCCCCCCCCCCCCCCCCCCCCCCCCCCCCCCCCCCC
rnacentral:lncRNA from 12 species